rnacentral:rRNA from 1 species
AGAGUUUGAUCCUGGCUCAGGAUGAACGCUAGCUACAGGCUUAACACAUGCAAGUCGAGGGGCAGCAUGUUGGUUGCUUGCAACCAAUGAUGGCGACCGGCGCACGGGUGAGUAACGCGUAUCCAACCUACCCUUGUCCAUCGGAUAACCCGUCGAAAGGCGGCCUAACACGAUAUGCGGUUCUCAGCAGGCAUCUAACGAGAACGAAAUGUGAAGGAGAAGGAUGGGGGAUGGCGUCUGAUUAGCUUGUUGGCGGGGUAACGGCCCACCAAGGCGACGAUCAGUAGGGGUUCUGAGAGGAAGGUCCCCCACAUUGGAACUGAGACACGGUCCAAACUCCGUACGGGAGGCA